rnacentral:lncRNA from 1 species
UGAAGGUAAUUGAAUCAUGGGGGCAGUUUCCCCCAUGCUGUUCUCUCGAAAGUGAGUGAGUCUCACAAGAUCUGAUGGUUUUAUAAGGGGUUCCUCCCCCUUGGCUCAGCACUUACCCUUCCUGCCGCCCUGUGAAGAGGUGCCUUCCACCAUGAUUGUAACUUUCCUGAGGACUCCCAAGCCAUGCAGAUCUGGCUUCUAUGAGGCUGUCUUGUAGGAUGCCCAUGACGAUCCUCCAGACACUAAGAUGAGAAAACUAAGGCCCAAAGGGACGCCUGGCUUUCCUAAGACCUGUAAGUGGAAGAGUCAGCAUUUGAAUGGAGAACUCGCAGCUUUCGGAGUCUAGACUUGUUUCACCUCACCAGACUGCUUCUACUCCUAGUGAUUCCUUCCCUUAGAUUAAGCCUUGCUCUCUUCCCGUGCAAUCAUGAAGAGGAUUAUAUUAGUAAAUCCCUGAACAUUCACUGAUUGGGGAAUGAGGGUCAAACCAAGGCAAAUGGCAGGAUUGACACUCACAUCAAGGGCUGGCUCAUUAAGGGCUCGGGACCUGGCGAUCAAGUUGCAUUGCAGAUUUUGGAAGUAUGCAAGACCAUGCCAGCCACCUUUCCAGGGAGAGACCAUGCAAAGAAGGCAGGUGAUCCAAGGUCUGGGAGUGGUGAGGACUGCUCCAGCCCCUGAGCAGCUGUCAUCCCAGCACAAAGUGUCAGAAGAGACCUCAAAGUGUGGUCUGCAGACCAGCAGCAUCUGCAUCACCUGGGAGCUUGUUAGAAAUGCAGAAUCUUCUGAGAGAACCAGACCUGCUGCAUCAAAAUCUGCAUUUUAACAAGAUUGUAACUUAGAUACACAGUAACACUUAAAAAGGAUGGGGCAGAGAGGCUAAGUCAGCAGCUUCUCAUCACACUCCAAUCUGAUGCUGCUAGUGCUCCAAAAAGCUCUCAUAUCCUCACUGACUAGCCUAGGGCUGUGUCUAUCAAUGCAUUAUAGGACACAGAUGAAGACUAUUGUGUACCUUCCUCAAUUUUUACCCCGUUGUUUCAGCCUUAUGUACAUCUUUAAUGCAAACAUCAAUGCGAGAAUUCUUGUGACAUGAAUUUUUUGGAACAACCUGUUUUGCAGAGCAAAUUUCAUUAAGCCAUUUUAAUCCAGAGUUUAAUUUUUUAUACAGCUUGACUAAAUCAUUUCCAUUUUUUUUCCAUUAGAAUGUCUAUUUGUAGUAACAUUAUUUUCAUGGGAUCAAUUAUUUUCUGUUUAAAUUUACAACAGGCAUUUGACUCAUCAAUCUCUUUUUAUAUACCAUCUUUUUGCUGAUUCUGACUUCUGCUAUUUGGAGAGGUUUUCUUGUUUGUGUGUUUGAUUCUUUUGUGGCCAUUCUUUCUAUUAAGUGAAAAUCAUCUGGAUCAAAUUUUGUAGAUUUAAAUUUUGUUAUUAGUGAUACCUGUUUUUUUCCUGUCAAUUUUAGCUCGUUACACAUUCUAGUCAUUUUAACCCUGCUAGUUUUGUUAGUUGCUGAUCACUUUUACCAUACCAGUAAUACGUGGUAGAAAUAAUCACCAGAAUGAAAGCUCUGCAAAGGCAGGAUUUCUGUCCCUUUUUUUUUUGUUGUUGUUUUUCCUGCCUUAUACUUGAGACUUAGUGCAUGGCACAUAGAAAGUGCUCCAUAUGGCCAGGCACAGUGACUCACGCCUGUAAUCCUUGCACUUUGGGAAGCCAAGGCAGGUGGAUCACUUGAGGUCAGGAGUUUGAGACCAGCCUGGCCAACAUGGUGAAACCCCGUCUGUACUAAAAAUACAAAACAUUAGCCAGGCAUGGUGGCGGGCACCUGUAGUCCCAGCUACUCGGGAGGCUGAGGCAGGAGAAUCACUUGAACCCAGGAGGCAGAGGUUGUGGUGAGGUGAAGUCACACCACUGCACUCCAGCCUGGGUGACAGAGCGAAACUCCAUUUAAAAAAAAAAGAAAGAAAGUACUCCAUAAAUAUUUGUAGGUGGAAAGAAUGAUAUUCACAUAUGAUUUAAUCAAAGACUGACAGUUUAUCUAUUUGAUAAAAAGACUGAGAAACAGAGAUUGAUGGAGACAGGAGAGAAAGUGGAGGAGAAGAGAAGAUGGAGACAGCACACACACAUGCACAUAGACUUGCACAUGCAGACACACGUUGCACAUGCAUGCACACAGCCACACACGUAUACACAAACACACAUGUGUGCACACAGCCACACACGUAUAGACAAACACACAUGCGUGCACACAGCCACACACGUAUACACAAACACACAUGCGUGCACACAGCCACACACGUAUACACAAACACACAUGCGUGCACACACCACACACAUAUAUGUAAGCACACGUGCAUGCACACAGGCAUACACAUAUACAUAAACACACAUGCACACAGCCACACACAUAUACACACAAGCAUGCACAUACACAGAGGCAUAUAUACACAUGCACUAACAUACGCAUAGUCACAGAUACACCUGUAGGUGCAAACACCUAUAUAUGUGUUCACAUUCAUACACGGGAGUUAAUAUAUUUGUGCUCACACAAGUAGAGGGUGGAAUUGUGGUUAUUAGAUGCUGGGAAGAGUAGAGGAAGAGAAGAUAGGGAGAGGCUGGUUGGUGGAUACAAAGUUACAGCUGAAUGAGAGAAAUAAUUUUGACUGUUCUGUAUACUGUAGGAUGAAUAUGGUUAACAAUAACUUAGUGUAUAUUUUCAAAAAGCCAGAAGAGAGGAUCUUGAAUGUUCACAGCACAAAUAAAUGAUAAAUGUUUGAGGUGAUGGAUAUGCUACUCUGAUUUGAUCAUUACACAUUGUAUAAAUGUAUUGAAAAAUCACUCUGUAUCCCAUAAAUAAGUAUAAUUAUUAUGCAUCAACUAAAAAUUAAAGACCACACAUAUAUGCACACAUAGACAUGCACAUGAACACACAUACUCAUGCAUAUGCGUAUACAUGCAGUUACACAUAUACACAAACACACAUAUAUGCACACAUAGACAUGCACAUGAACACACAGACAUACUCAUGCAUAUGCGUAUACAUGCAGAGUUACACAUAUACACAAACACAUAUAUGCACACAUGGACAUGCACAUGAAGACACUUAUGCACAUGUCCACACAUGCACACAGCCACACACAUACAUAUAUACACAAAUACCGAUAAAUAUGCACACGUAGACAGCAUGCACACAGAGAUACAUAUGCACACACACAGCCACAUGUAUACACACAUAUGCAAAUGUAUGCACACACAGACACACAUAUGCCCAUACAUAGGCAUAUACACGUACAGAUUCAGAUAUAAACACAUACAAACACUCAUGUACAUAUGCAAACACAUGUACACACACAGUCUGCUGGCAUAGUGAUGGCUAAACCAAUGCAGGGUAGGGUAAAAUGUCUCUGGUGCAAGGUCAGUAGGAUAAAAACUGCAGGAUCAAAUGGCAUGCUUAACAACACUCCUCUGUGGGGUAUCAGUGUCUCCAUUUUACAACCAGUGCUUAAUCAAAUGCAUAUUGAGUUGAACUGAAUAUUGGAAAAUGAAUUGCUACCUUUGAAUGAAUCUACUGAAAAAUCAUGCUUGUCCUGGGUCAGACCGUGUGAAAAGCACUGGGUAUUGGAGAUGAAAAGUGGUUGGCCCUUUUUCUUUGAAAGCUUAGUCCAGUGGGGAAGAUGGAUGUGGAAGCUGAGCAAUUAAAAUGCAGCUUGAUAAAAGCUGUGCUGAAAAAGCCUCACUGAGCUGAGCCGUGGGGGCUGGGAGGGAGCAGGUCUUACACUGAAUGAUCAAGUUUAGUGGGAGCUGUUUAAAUUCUGAGCCAUCAGGCAUUUUUGCUGGAUUCCUUUCGGUGCGUUUGUUAAUCAAUUAUAAAAUAAUAAUAAUGAACACUUCGGGAGAGAGGAUGGAGGUUGAAAGACAGUGGAGGGCUGGACUUGAGGUUGGAAGAUUUGCAGAGACCUGGAUUGUGCAUUCGACCUUUACAAAUUGAAGCGAGAGGCUUUGCAUCUCUGAACAUCAGGAUUCCACUCUAUAAAAAGGAGAAUGAAAGCAUUCAGUUUAUAGGUUUGCUGUGAGGGCUCAACGAGAAUGUGGAUCCAAAAAAGCUUUGGAAACCAAAAUACCACUAGUUAGCUUGCUGCUUUAUUAUCCAAAAGAGGCUGCAAAGAUUUGAGGUUUGUUUGUAGUUUGUUUGUAGAUUAGUCAGUGUCUACUAAAAUAACAAUGUGUAACAACCAUGCCCAAAUCUUGGUGGCUUAAUACCUUAAACGUUAUUUUUCUCAUUCAUGAGGCUGUAGGUGGGUUGGAAUUUGGCAGAUGUAGGCUGGAAUUAGCUGGACCUGCCUCCAGGACCAGGGUUGGACCCAAGUCUUCUGUACAUGUCACCUUCUUUUGGCGCCAGUGCUACCUGGGAUUUUAAUUUCAUGGUUUUGCAGAAGCGUAAGAGGGCAUGCCAACCACGUGAACACUUUUAAAGCCUAACAUCCUAUAGGCCAAAGCCAGCCACAGGUCCAAACUCAACUUCAAUAGGCAGGGAAAGUCCUCCACCUACUUUACCAGGGGAGUACUGCAGAGCAAUGACCGAGGAAGGAAAUGUUUAAUCCUAUUAGGGAGGGAGGGGGGGACCAGGAACACAAAUCCCUCAAGGCAGGACGAGUAAUGUUUGGCUGUCCAAGGUUGACAGACUGGGUCUCAAUUCCUGGCACUGCUCCUCUCUAGCCAUGAGACUUUAGGCAAGUCAACAUUUCAGAGCCUCAGUUUCCUCAUCUGUAAAGUGGGUAUAAUAAUAGAAUUCUCAUAGAAUUUCAGUGAGGAUUGCCUGAUUCAUGACAUCAGCCUUAUAAGUGGUCCCCUUCUUUUACCUUGCAUCUUCUGUAAUCUCUUCUCUAUGCUUCAUCCUUUAAAUACAAAAGUCACCCAUAAAGACAGAAAACAGAUUAGUGGUGGCCAGAGGUGGUGGAGGGAGAGAGGAGGAGAAAUGAGGAGUGCUAAGGGGUAUGAGGUUUCCUUUUGGGGUGAUGAAAAUGUUCUAAAAUUGAUGUGGUUACGGUUGUACAACUGCAAAUAUACAAUCCCUCUGCCUGGAACCUUUUACCCAAGGUAUCUGCCCCCACCGUAAAUCCUCACUUGCAUACUGUAUAAUGAGGCUUUUCUGGACCACCCUAUUUAAUUACCCACUCCUUUCUGUCCAUGCCUGUCUCUCGAUAUAUUUUCUCUGAAUGUUUGUAGCAACUUGACAUAUUUUGCAUGCUUAUACACUAUGUACUUUAUAUUAAAGCACAGUUAUGUAAUUUA